CAAUUAAGCGCACACGGUGGAUGCCUAGGCAGUCAGAGGCGAUGAAAGACGUGGUAGCCUGCGAUAAGGUUCGGUGAGGUGGCAACAACCUGUGACCCGGACAUUUCUGAAUGGGGAAACCCACUGGCCAUAAGGUCAGUAUCUUACACUGAAUACAUAGGUGUAAGAGGCGAACCAGGGGAACUGAAACAUCUAAGUACCCUGAGGAAAAGAAAUCAACCGAGAUUCCCCUAGUAGCGGCGAGCGAACGGGGACCAGCCCUUAAGCAUGUGAAUGAUUAGGCGAACAGAUUGGGAAGUCUGGCCGUAGCGGGUGAUAGCCCCGUAGUCGAAAAUCUGAUCAUGUGAAAUCGAGUAGGUCGGGGCACGAGAAACCUUGACUGAAGACGGGGGGACCAUCCUCCAAGGCUAAAUACUCCUGACUGACCGAUAGUGAACCAGUACCGUGAGGGAAAGGCGAAAAGAACCCCGGAGAGGGGAGUGAAAUAGAUCCUGAAACCGUGUGCGUACAAGCAGUAGGAGCAGACUUGUUCUGUGACUGCGUACCUUUUGUAUAAUGGGUCAGCGACUUAUAUUCAGUGGCGAGGUUAACCGUAUAGGGGAGCCGUAGGGAAACCGAGUCUUAACUGGGCGACACAGUCGCUGGAUAUAGACCCGAAACCGAGCGAUCUAUCCAUGAGCAGGGUGAAGGUUGAGUAACAUCAACUGGAGGCCCGAACCAGGAUCUGUUGAAAAAGAUUUGGAUGACUUGUGGAUCGGAGUGAAAGGCUAAUCAAGCUCGGAGAUAGCUGGUUCUCCUCGAAAGCUAUUUAGGUAGCGCCUCACGUAUUACCGCCGGGGGUANAGCACUGUUUCGGCUAGGGGGUCAUCCCGACUUACCAACCCGAGGCAAACUCCGAAUACCGGUGAGUAGAGCGUGGGAGACACACGGCGGGUGCUAACGUCCGUCGUGAAAAGGGAAACAACCCAGACCGUCAGCUAAGGUCCCGAAAUCCUGGUUAAGUGGGAAACGAUGUGGGAAGGCUCAGACAGCUAGGAGGUUGGCUUAGAAGCAGCCAUCCUUUAAAGAAAGCGUAAUAGCUCACUAGUCGAGUCGGCCUGCGCGGAAGAUGUAACGGGGCUAAACCAGGUACCGAAGCUACGGGUGAGUUCAUAUUUCGAUAUGGAUUCGCGGUAGAGGAGCGUCGUGUAAGCCAAUGAAGGUGAAUUGAGAAGUUCGCUGGAGGUAUCACGAGUGCGAAUGCUGACAUGAGUAACGAUAAAGGGAGUGAAAAACUCCCUCGCCGGAAGACCAAGGGUUUCUGUUCGACGCUAAUCGGAGCAGAGUGAGUCGGCCCCUAAGGCGAGGCCGAAAGGCGUAGUCGAUGGGAAACGGGUCAAUAUUCCCGUACCGGACAUGGUUGCGAUGGGGGGACGAAGAAGGCUAGGUGAGCCAGGCGUUGGUUGUCCUGGUGAAAGUGAGUAGGCUUGGAUCUUAGGUAAAUCCGGGAUCCUUCAAGGCCGAGACACGAGAUGAACUGACCACGGUCAGGAAGUCACUGAUGCCACGCUUCCAGGAAAAGCCUCUAAGCUUCAGAUCAUGUGCGACCGUACCCCAAACCGACACAGGUGGUCAGGGUGAGAAUCCCAAGGCGCUUGAGAGAACUCGGGUGAAGGAACUAGGCAAAAUGGUGCCGUAACUUCGGGAGAAGGCACGCCGGCGUAGGGUGAUGAGACUUGCUCUCUAAGCCCGAACCGGUCGAAGAUACCAGGUGGCUGCAACUGUUUAUUAAAAACACAGCACUCUGCUAACGCGCAAGCGGACGUAUAGGGUGUGACGCCUGCCCGGUGCCGGAAGGUUAAAUGAUGGUGUUAGCCGCAAGGCGAAGCUCUUGAUUGAAGCCCCGGUAAACGGCGGCCGUAACUAUAACGGUCCUAAGGUAGCGAAAUUCCUUGUCGGGUAAGUUCCGACCUGCACGAAUGGCGUAAUGAUGGCCACGCUGUCUCCACCCGAGACUCAGUGAAAUUGAAAUCGCCGUGAAGAUGCGGUGUACCCGCGGCUAGACGGAAAGACCCCGUGAACCUUUACUAUAGCUUCACACUGGACGCUGAUGUUGCCUGUGUAGGAUAGCUGGGAGGCUUUGAAACUCGGACGCCAGUUCGGGCGGAGCCAACCUUGAAAUACCAGCCUGGCAUCAUUGGCGUUCUCACUCAGGUCCGUUAUCCGGAUCGAGGACAGUGUGUGGUGGGUAGUUUGACUGGGGCGGUCUCCUCCUAAAGAGUAACGGAGGAGCACGAAGGUACCCUCAGCACGGUCGGACAUCGUGCAUUGAGUGCAAGAGCAUAAGGGUGCUUGACUGCGAGACAGACACGUCGAGCAGGUGCGAAAGCAGGUUCUAGUGAUCCGGUGGUUCUGUAUGGAAGGGCCAUCGCUCAACGGAUAAAAGGUACUCCGGGGAUAACAGGCUGAUACCGCCCAAGAGUUCACAUCGACGGCGGUGUUUGGCACCUCGAUGUCGGCUCAUCACAUCCUGGGGCUGAAGUCGGUCCCAAGGGUAUGGCUGUUCGCCAUUUAAAGUGGUACGCGAGCUGGGUUUAGAACGUCGUGAGACAGUUCGGUCCCUAUCUGCCGUGGGCGUUGGAUGUUUGAGAAGGGCUGCUCCU
rnacentral:rRNA from 1 species